GACGAACGCUGGCGGCGUGCUUAACACAUGCAAGUCGAACGGAAAGGCCCUGCUUUUGUUGGGUGCUCGAGUGGCGAACGGGUGAGUAACACGUGAGUAACCUGCCCUUGACUUUGGGAUAACUUCAGGAAACUGGGGCUAAUACCGGAUAUGAGCUCUUGCUGCAUGGUGUGGGUUGGAAAGUUUCGGCGGUUGUGGAUGGACUCGCGGCUUAUCAGCUUGUUGGUGGGGUAGUGGCUUACAAAGGCUUUGACGGGUAGCCGGCCUGAGAGGGGGACCGGCCACAUUGGGACUGAGAGACGGCCCAGACUCCUACGGGAGGCAGCAGUGGGGAAUAUUGCACAAUGGGCGGAAGCCUGAUGCAGCAACGCCGCGUGCGGGAUGACGGCCUUCGGGUUGUAAACCGCUUUCGCCUGUGACGAAGCGUGAGUGACGGUAAUGGGUAAAGAAGCACCGGCUAACUACGUG
rnacentral:rRNA from 1 species